UCUUGGUCAAUUAGAGGAAGUAAAAGUCGUAACAAGGUUUCCGUAGGUGAACCUGCGGAAGGAUCAUUAUCGUAUUACCAAGAGGCACGAGGGCUGUUUGCUGACCCUUUCGAGGGGGGUCGUGCACGCCCUGGGUGUCCUCACAUAAUCCACCUCACCCUUGUGCAUCACCGCGUGGGCUUCCUUUCCUUUGAAAGGGGGAGGGGGCUCGCGUCUUUCACAACGCGCACCCUUGGUAUGGAAUGUCUUACUAUGCGAUCACACGCGAUCAAUACAACUUUCAACAACGGAUCUCUUGGCUCUCGCAUCGAUGAAGAACGCAGCGAAAUGCGAUAUGUAAUGUGAAUUGCAGAAUUCAGUGAAUCAUCGAAUCUUUGAACGCACCUUGCGCCCUUUGGUAUUCCGAGGGGCACACCCGUUUGAGUGUCGUGAAAUUCUCAACCUUCUUCCCUUUUUCAUUUGAAUCGGGGGAGAAAGGCUUGGACUUUGGAGGCUUUUUUGCUGGCCUCUUUCAUUUUUGAAGCCAGCUCCUCUUAAAGGAAUUAGUGGGAUCCCCCUCUGUCGGUCCUCGACGUGAUAAGCCUUUUCUUUGACGUCGCAUUGAGAGGCAGAGAGAGACCCGCUUCCAAUGGUCUCAUCGAGACGACGGUGGACUUUUUGAUCCAUCAGACCCUUUUGACCUCAAAUCGGGUGAGACUACCCGCUGAACUUAAGCAUAUCAAUAAGCGGAGGAAAAGAAACUAACAAGGAUUCCCCUAGUAACUGCGAGUGAAGCGGGAAAAGCUCAAAUUUAAAAUCUGGCGGUCUUUGAUCAUCCGAGUUGUAAUUUAGAGAAGCGUCUUCCGCGCUGGACCGUGUACAAGUCUCCUGAA
rnacentral:rRNA from 1 species